AGCUCCAAUAGCGUAUAUUAAAGUUGUUGCAGUUAAAAAGCUCGUAGUUGGAUCUCGGGUACCAGCAAGUGGUCUGCUUAAUUGCUGUCACUGCUUGUCUGGUCCUAAUCAACCGGUUGGCCGUUGAUGCCCUUUAUUGGGUGUUUUCGGUAGCCGGUACUUUUACUUUGAGAAAAUUAGAGUGCUUAAAGCAGGCCAUACGCCUGAAUAAUGUUGCAUGGAAUAAUAGAAUAGGACCUCGGUUCUAUUUUGUUGGUUUUGUAGAGCAUUGAGGUAAUGAUUAAUAGGGACAGACGGGGGCAUUCGUAUUGCGGUGUUAGAGGUGAAAUUCUUGGAUCGCCGCAAGACGAACAACUGCGAAAGCAUUUGCCAAGAAUGUUUUCA
rnacentral:rRNA from 1 species